rnacentral:rRNA from 1 species
GUGCACGCUGGCGGUAGGCCUCACACCUGCCAGUCGAACGGCAGCACAGUAAGAGCUUGCUCUUACGGGUGGCGAGUGGCGGACGGGUGAGGAAUACAUCGGAAUCUACUUUUUCGUGGGGGAUAACGUAGGGAAACUUACGCUAAUACCGCAUACGACCUACGGGUGAAAGCAGGGGAUCUUCGGACCUUGCGCGAUUGAAUGAGCCGAUGUCGGAUUAGCUAGUUGGCGGGGUAAAGGCCCACCAAGGCGACGAUCCGUAGCUGGUCUGAGAGGAUGAUCAGCCACACUGGAACUGAGACACGGUCCAGACUCCUACGGGAGGCAGCAGUGGGGAAUAUUGGACAAUGGGCGCAAGCCUGAUCCAGCCAUACCGCGUGGGUGAAGAAGGCCUUCGGGUUGUAAAGCCCUUUUGUUGGGAAAGAAAAGCAGCAGGUUAAUACCCCGCUGUUCUGACGGUACCCAAAGAGUAAGCACCGGCUAACUUCGUG